rnacentral:tRNA from 1 species
GUGUCGGUGGUUCAAUAAUAGAAUGCUCGCCUGCCACUCGGGCGGUUCGGUUUCGAUUCCCGGCCAACGCA